rnacentral:rRNA from 1 species
CGUGCCUAAUACAUGCAAGUCGAACGAGUUCUGAUUAUUGAAAGGUGCUUGCAUCUUGAUUUAAUUUUGAACGAGUGGCGGACGGGUGAGUAACACGUGGGUAACCUGCCCUUAAGUGGGGGAUAACAUUUGGAAACAGAUGCUAAUACCGCAUAAAUCCAAGAACCGCAUGGUUCUUGGCUGAAAGAUGGCGUAAGCUAUCGCUUUUGGAUGGACCCGCGGCGUAUUAGCUAGUUGGUGAGGUAACGGCUCACCAAGGCAAUGAUACGUAGCCGAACUGAGAGGUUGAUCGGCCACAUUGGGACUGAGACACGGCCCAAACUCCUACGGGAGGCAGCAGUAGGGAAUCUUCCACAAUGGACGCAAGUCUGAUGGAGCAACGCCGCGUGAGUGAAGAAGGCUUUCGGGUCGUAAAACUCUGUUGUUGGAGAAGAAUGGUCGGCAGAGUAACUGUUGUCGGCGUGACGGUAUCCAACCAGAAAGCCACGGCUAACUACGUGCCAGCAGCCGCGGUAAUACGUAGGUGGCAAGCGUUAUCCGGAUUUAUUGGGCGUAAAGCGAGCGCAGGCGGUUUUUUAAGUCUGAUGUGAAAGCCCUCGGCUUAACCGAGGAAGUGCAUCGGAAACUGGAAAACUUGAGUGCAGAAGAGGACAGUGGAACUCCAUGUGUAGCGGUGAAAUGCGUAGAUAUAUGGAAGAACACCAGUGGCGAAGGCGGCUGUCUGGUCUGUAACUGACG